rnacentral:rRNA from 1 species
AUUGAACGCUGGCGGCAUGCCUUACACAUGCAAGUCGAACGGCAGCAUGGAGAGCUUGCUCUCUGAUGGCGAGUGGCGAGCGGGUGAGUAAUGCAUCGGAACGUACCGUGUAAUGGGGGAUAACGUAGCGAAAGUUACGCUAAUACCGCAUACGACCUGAGGGUGAAAGCAGGGGAUCGCAAGACCUUGCGUUAUACGAGCGGCCGAUGUCAGAUUAGCUAGUUGGUGAGGUAAAGGCUCACCAAGGCGACGAUCUGUAGCGGGUCUGAGAGGAUGAUCCGCCACACUGGGACUGAGACACGGCCCAGACUCCUACGGGAGGCAGCAGUGGGGAAUUUUGGACAAUGGGGGCAACCCUGAUCCAGUCAUGCCGCGUGAGUGAAGAAGGCCUUCGGGUUGUAAAGCUCUUUCGGCCGGGAAGAAAUCGCACAGACUAAUACUCUGUGUGGAUGACGGUACCGGCAUAAGAAGCACCGGCUAACUACGUGCCAGCCGCCGCCGUAA